rnacentral:rRNA from 1 species
GACGAACGCUGGCGGCGUGCUUAACACAUGCAAGUCGAACGGAAAGGCCCCUUUGGGGGUCCUCGAGUGGCGAACGGGUGCGUAACACGUGAGUAACCUGCCCUUGACUUCGGGUUAACUUCAGGAACCUGGGGCUAAUACCGGAUAGGAAUCCUUGCUGCAUGGUGGGGGUUGGAAAGCUUCGGCGGUUUUGGAUGGACUGGCGGGUUAUCAGCUUGUUGGUGGGGUAGUGGCUUACCAAGGCUUUGACGGGUCGCCGGCCUGUGAGGGCGACCGGCGACAUUGAGACUGAGAUACGGCCCAGACGCCUACGGGAGGCAGCAGGGGGGAAUCUUGCACAAUGGGCGGAAGCCUGAUGCAGCAACGCCGCGUGCGGGAUGACGGCCUUCGGGUUGUAAACCGCUUUCAGCAGGGGCGAAGCUUGUGGUGACGGUACCUGCAGAAGAAGCACCGGCUAACUACGUG